AACACAACUCAAGGGUUACAAAAUCCCGAAGACAACUAAUGUUAAAAGACAAAAAGAGAACUGGAAAACAACCUGUUAAACAGUCAACCCUGAUGAAAUGGCAUGCUUUAAUGUUUGUUGAACAAAUUACCUUUGUAUUGUACACUGUAAAAAA